rnacentral:rRNA from 1 species
UACAGAGGUGCCAAGCGUUAGGCGGAAUCACUGGGCUUAAAGCGCGUGUAGGUGGACGGGUAAGUAUCUUGUGAAAUCCCCACGGCUCAACCCGUGGGAACUGCUGGAUAUACUGCUUGUCUUGAGGCACUUAGGGGCAGCUGGAACAAAUGGUGGAGCGGUGAAAUGCGUAGAUAUCAGGAGGAACACCGGUGGCGAAGGCGGGUCUCUGGGCCGAUACUGACGCUGAGGAGCGAAAGCGUGGGGAGCGAACAGG